UAUCAGUUUGUUGGUGGGGUAACGGCCUACCAAGGCGACGACGGGUAGCGGGACUGAGAGGUUGACCCGCCACAUCGGGACUGAGACACUGCCCGGACCUCCACGGAGGGCUGCAGUAACGAAUAUUGCGCAAUGGGCGAAAGCCUGACGCAGCGACGCCGCGUGUAGGAUGAAGCCUUUCGGGGUGUAAACUACUGUCAGGGGUUAGAAAAUAUGCUUCGGUAUAUUGAUCAGCCCCAAAGGAAGUCACGGCUAACUUCGUGCCAGCAGCCGCGGUAAUACGAAGGUGGCGAGCGUUGUUCGGAAUCACUGGGCUUAAAGCGCGCGUAGGCGGAAUGGUGGGUGUCUUGUGAAAUCCCUCGGCUUAACCGAGGAAUUGCUUGGCAAACUGCCAUUCUUGAGGCAAGUAGGGGUGCAUGGAACUCUUGGUGGAGCGGUGGAAUGCGUAGAUAUCAAGAGGAACGCCAAAGGUGAAGACAGUGCACUGGGCUUGUCCUGACGCUGAGGUGCGAAAGCGUGGGGAGCGAACGGGAUUAGAUACCCCUGUAGUCCACGCCGUAAACGAUGUCUACUAGGUUGUGGAGGUUCUGACGCCUUCACAGUCGAAGCAAAAGUGUUAAGUAGACCGCCUGGGGAGUACGGUCGCAAGGCUAAAACUCAAAGGAAUUGACGGGGGCUCACACAAGCGGUGGAGCAUGUGGAUUAAUUCGAACAACGCGCAGAACCUUACCUGGGUUUGACAUGCUUGGAUGCCGCUCUGGAAACAGAGUUGGUUGCCUUCGGGUGAAACUUGCACAGGUGCUGCAUGGCUGUCGUCAGCUCGUGUCGUGAGAUGUCGGGUUAAGUCCUUUAACGAGCGAAACCCUUGCCGUUAGUUGCCAGCGGGUCAUGCCGGGGACUCUAGCGGGACUGCCGGUGUUAAACCGGAGGAAGGUGGGGAUGACGUCAAGUCCUCAUGGCCUUUAUGCCCAGGGCUUCACACGUGCUACAAUGGCGGCAACAGAGCGAUGCGAUGCCGUGAGGCGGAGCAAAUCGCAAAAAAAGUCGCCCCAGUUCGGAUUGCAGGCUGACAACUCGCCUGCAUGAAGUUGGAAUCGCUAGUAAUCGCGUAUCAGCUACGACGCGGUGAAUGUGUUCCUGAGCCUUGUACACACCGCCCGUCAAGUGAUGGGAGCUGGGAGUACCCAAAGUCGGGUUGCCAACCUUUUAGGAGGCGCCUGCCUACGGUAAGCUCGGUGACUGGCACUAAGUCGUAACAAGGUA
rnacentral:rRNA from 1 species